rnacentral:lncRNA from 1 species
AAUCUUUUUUCUGUCGAUUGGAAAUAACAUUAAAAUUUGGUACACACAUCAAAAUAGCAGUGUGCACCACAUUUAUUGUGUUAUUUCUUUAUAGACAGAAAAAAUAUUAUAUUAAUUCCUUAAAUAGUUACAAACAUAUUUUAUAUGGUGGAACAACUUGACCUUCACGAAGACAACGGAAAUCUACCUCUUAUAUUUGCAAAGUACAUUAUACAAUAAAGAACUAAUAUGUCUGUACCGGAAGGACAUCUAUUCACAUGCCAUAAAGUGUCAGGCCAUAUACAAGAGGUCUCAUUAAAUGUUAAAAUUAUUUUUUGCGUUCUAUCGCUACGUUGGUUUUUUUUUUGUUUUUUUUUUUUUAAAUAUAUAUAUUUUCACAAAACAAAGACAAUUUUAGAAAUUAGCUGUGCAAAGCCCGAGUUUGGUUUUCUGUAAUUUGUGGUUAAGUAGAAGAGAGACCGUCUUGACAAAGUCAUGGAAACUCAAACCACCACCGGUACAUACAUAAAGAAAAGAUUUGCUUAACUAUUAAUUAACAGUUAUUUCUCUCAUUUGGGGGAGGGGGGGAUCCGAAGCUCUUUGUAUUUAUGUAUUACAGUAUUUAUAUGUGUAAUUGAAAUGUACACGAUAUUUUGAAAUAAUAAAUAAGUUUAAAGUAAGUAGAAUAAAAAAGAAUACUAUAUAUACUAGAAUAUACUCUAUGGAUGGAAGAUUGUAUAAUAAACAGUGAUUCUAUGCAGCAUAUUGCACUGGUCUACAUUAUAAUGACCCCCCCCCCACUUUCCCCAAAGAAAACGGUACUUACAAAGCAAAUAUGGAUAGUUAAUUUAUAACUGUUUCUGGAGAUCCCGAAUAUAGGUAAACAAUUUUUUUGUUUCAUGAUUCAUAAGUUUAUAGGUGUGGAUGAAAAAUAAAUAUUCUUGCAUACAAGUUCUAAGAGAUAAGGCAAAUAAAUGAAGAAGAAAAACUUGACAUAAUAAAUAUAUAUCAUACAAUUUCUUAAACUAAAUAUUUCUAAAAUGAUUGAUUGAUUUAUAUUGUUUUCUCUCUAAAAGGAUGAUAUUUAAUAUGAAGCAGCUCAUUUUCAUAUUUUCUACCUGAUAUGUAAGUAAUAUUUGCCGCUGGACGUUUAACAUCCAGCCGUCAUCUUCAUCAUUCUCCUUUGAUUAAGGGGAAACAACUCUAAAAUAUAAACGAAUCGAUUCAUAGAAUAUCUCGCAUCAGCG